rnacentral:rRNA from 1 species
UACGUAGGGGCCUAGCGUUGUCCGGAUUUAUUGGGCGUAAAGAGCUCGUAGGCGGCUUGUCACGUCGGGUGUGAAAGCCCGGGGCUUAACCCCGGGUCUGCAUUCGAUACGGGCUGGCUAGAGUGUGGUAGGGGAGAUCGGAAUUCCUGGUGUAGCGGUGAAAUGCGCAGAUAUCAGGAGGAACACCGGUGGCGAAGGCGGAUCUCUGGGCCAUUACUGACGCUGAGGAGCGAAAGCGUGGGGAGCGAACAGG